rnacentral:rRNA from 1 species
UACAGAGGUGGCAAGCGUUGUUCGGAAUUACUGGGCGUAAAGGGCGAGUAGGUGGCCAUCUAAGUCAGACGUGAAAUCCCCCCGCUUAACCUGGGAACUGCGUCUGAUACUGGACGGCUUGAGUAUGGGGAGAGGAAUGUAGAAUUCCAGGUGUAGCGGUGAAAUGCUAGAUAUCUGGAGGAAUACCGGUGGCGAGGGCGGCAUUCUGGACCUUUACUGACACUGAAUCGCGAAAGCUAG